UACGUAGGUGGCGAACGUUAUCCGGAAUUAUUGGGCGUAAAGGAUGCGUAGAUGGUGUAGUAAGUUAGCGGUGGCAAAUCGAGGCUCAACCUCGUGGAAGUCGGUAAUACUGCUAUGCUAGAGGAUAGGAGAGGUUAACGGAACUCCCUGUGGAGCGGUGAAAUGCGUAGAUAUAGGGAAGAACACCAAUCAGGCGAAGGCAGUUAACUAUUCUAUUCCUGACAUUGAGGCAUGAAAGCGUGGGGAGCAAAACGG
rnacentral:rRNA from 1 species